UGGGGAAUAUUGCACAAUGGAGGGAACUCUGAUGCAGCAACGCCGCGUGCGGGAUGACGGCCUUCGGGUUGUAAACCGCUUUCAGCCAUGACGAAGCUUUUGUGACGGUAGUGGUAGAAGAAGCACCGGCUAACUACGUGCCAGCAGCCGCGGUGAUACGUAGGGUGCGAGCGUUGUCCGGAAUUAUUGGGCGUAAAGAGCUUGUAGGCGGUUUGUCGCGUCGAUAGUGUAAACACGCAGCUUAACUGUGUGCCUGCUGUCGAUACGGGCUGACUAGAGGAGGGUAGGGGAGAAUGGAAUUCCCGGUGGAGCGGUGGAAUGCGCAGAUAUCGGGAGGAACACCAGUGGCGAAGGCGGUUCUCUGGACCUUUCCUAACGCUGAGAAGCGAAAGCGUGGGUAGCAAACAGG
rnacentral:rRNA from 1 species